CACACAUUCAUUUCUAUGUCACUUACAGUAAUUGCACAUAUGACAAGAGUGCUCUAUUUAAUAUUUAACAGAGCAUUAACAGAUCAUCUUCUGUCAGGAUCAUUUUCCUAUGAGACAAACACACACAAUCCCCAGUGGAGUUUAAAGUUCGCUUUGCUUCUUCAGUGACAGCAGAUGACAAGAAGGAUAACAUUACAGGCAACCAUAACAUCAAAAUGAUGUCCUCCUGGAUGCAGUUUUGUGCAGUUUAAGACAUCCGUGUCACUCCUGAGUGGCUCCAUCACAUCAGCAGAGAGCAUGACCCUGAGCGCUGUCUAGCUCUGUCCAGAGGCUAUGGGACGCAUGACCAUGGAACCAAGCACAGCAGUUCACUGACUCCGCAGGGGCUUCCAAAUCAUUCCACACACAGGUCACCCAAAGAUGGAAAUAGAGAGAGAGAACAGAAAGUGUUCAGAGGAGUGCGAAGACAGAAACUGUGUCACUGAGACGGUUUCAUGUCAGUGAGUGACGCUAUAAAUGACUGCUGCUGACAAGUUUUUAAUCAAGAUUUGCUUUGGUGUCUGAAGGCUCAAAGAUUAAAAACAUGAAUAUAACAAAUGAGCACAGUGCAAAUGUCUUGUCUCUGUCAGUGAAGCUUUCAGACAUGACAAAUAUAA